UGAAUGCCUGGCCGUAGCGGGUGAUGGCCCCGUAGCCGAACGCGCGUCGUCUUCCGAUCGCGUCUCCCAAGUAGCACGGGCCUCGUGGAAUCCCGUGCGAAUCCGUCCGGACCGUUGGAUAAGCCUAAAUAUUCCUGUCUGACCGAUAGUGAACGAGUACCGUGAGGGAAAGGUGAAAAGCCCCCCGGGAGGGGAGUGAAAUAGUUUCUGAAACCGUAUGCCUACGAACCGUCGGAGCCCUUAGGGGUGACGGCGUGCCUAUCGAAAAAUGAGUCUGCGAGUCAGUG
rnacentral:rRNA from 1 species